GACAUUGGUGGUUAUGGCUGAUAAAUACAAGAAAGCGGAAAUGUCAAAUACUUGACCCGCUACACAAAAAAGCUCCCACCGAUGAGAGAAAGGCCAUUAAUAAAUUCACUGGAUACGUAUUUUCAAGAUUGAUAACAUAUGCCGGCGGGGAACCUCUGCAGAAAGGGGAGAGGGAGAAGGAAAUUAAAUCACCAUAUGUUAAAAUAUCAGGCCAAAAAACAAGCUAUGACUGCGCUGUGUACGUUAUGAAGUGGAUGGAGUU